rnacentral:snRNA from 1 species
GUGCUGCUUCUGCCGGUACACAGACUAAAAUUGGAACGCUGAAGAGGGGCCCGGCGUGGCCCUGUGCCCAGAUGACAC